UAGGAAGACAGGAAAUAUGUAUCAUCGGGCGAAUAAAUAUUCGAUAUUGAGUCCAUCACGCCAAGACCAGCAGAAGGCAAGCUCAAGUCGACACAACGUAGAGGAAUUUAGUGCCGCAUAUGAAUGGCAAAAUCAAUAUGAUGAUGCAAUGGAGGAUGGCCAUCAGGAUACCGUGCAGCACGAUGAAGGGGAUUCUGUGCAGGAUGGCGAUGCAAACUUCACGGAUGAUAGCGAUGUCGAAGCUGGUAGUGCGUUAAAUAUUGAUAAUAUGUCUAUAGAGGAUGGGAUACGAUAUUGGGCACUAUCGAAUAAUCAAACCCAUCAGUCGAUAAAUAUGGUGCUGCGUCUGUUCAAAAAAACAGGCGUGAAAGUACCGGCAUCUGCCAAAACGCUGCUUAAAACUAAAUCUAUCAUCGGAGAUAAAGGAUAUCGAUGGUGGACAAUUUUGGUAUCGAGGAUUCAGAAGUUGCCUAUUAAAUUACUUCCGGUAAGUAGAUACACACCAUUUUUUUUUUACUUGAUCGAAUUACAGCUAAUCAUUAUCUCCUUUUAUUUGCAAAUCAGUAAAGGUACCUCCUAAUUGUAUUACUUUAACAUUGUCGAUUGAUGGAUUGCCUCUACAUAACAGCAGUAAUAUGCAAUUUUGGCCGAUAUUGUUCAAAAUCGAAGAACUCCCACAAGCUCCAGUUAUGGCAGCCGCAUUUUUUUGUGGAUUUCAGAAACCAAACAAUAUAGAAGAGUUUCUUCGACCAGCCGUUGAUGAGCUAAGCCUUCUAAUGGCGAAUGGUAUCAUCAUUCACGGAAAGAAAGUUGUUGUGAAAAUGCGUGCUAUUGUUGCAGAUACUCCUGCCAGAGCUUUUAUUAAAGGUGUAAAAGGGCAUACCGGCUAUAACGCCUGUUUAAAAUGCACCGUUGAAGGGAAUCAUAGCGAGGCUGGACACACCAUCGUUUAUGCAAAUGAUUCAAAUGCAAGAAAACGAACAAAUGAAAAAUUCCG